CAUUUGAGAGGCGGCUGUCACGCACCCUGUGCACAGAAGCGACCAGCCGUGCACCUUCCUCAUGCGCGCGGACAGCGGCCACAGGUUCAGCACCGCACUGAACUGGACAGGAUGCUGACGGACAGAUGGAAACAGACAGGGUCUCUGCCAUAGAGACAGAGGGUCCAACCAUACAGCAAGUGCAUAAGGAGGAGAAGUAUAAGUCCGUACUCUAGGGCUGCAUCCCUAUCUUCAGAGGGGACAGCAUGGGCAGAACAGUUGUCGUUAGAAUGGUAGUGUCAAAAAUUCGAACCUAACAAGAGGGAAUUUGCGUGAAAGCGCGAAUAAAGGAUUUUACUGGCCUUGCGGGCGAUUUGAUUCAUAGCCUAGCACUUCGACAAGUUGCUCGGGAGAAUGGAAAAGCCCACCCAGUCGAGCAUUUCCAAGAACGCAGAAGGUCCCUCAGAGGAUCUUUCCAAACUUACGGAUGAGGAGCUUCUGAAAUGGAGCAAGGAGGACCUGGUACGCCGGCUCCGCAGAGCUGAAACUGAGAAGAUGAGCGUCAUAGUGGACCACAGCAAUCUCAUCCGAGAGGUGAACCGCAGGCUUCAGCAGCACCUCAACGAAAUACGUGGUUUGAAGGAGGUGAAUCAGAAGCUGCAAGAGGACAACCAGGAGCUGCGGGACCUCUGCUGCUUUCUGGAUGACGACCGGCAGAAAGGAAAAAAGGUUUCGAGGGAGUGGCAGCGCCUGGGCCGCUACAGUGCAGGAAUCAUGCGUAAGGAGGUGACGCUUUACCUGCAGAAGCUGAAAGAGCUGGAGCAGAGGCAGGAGGAAGUGGUGAGGGAGAACCUUGAACUGAGAGAGAUGUGCUUCAUGCUGGAUGAGGAGAAGGGCUCUGGAGGUACUUGUGGGCCAGUGGGUACCGGGGGACCAGCUGGAUGCAGGAAUUCAAUCGAUAGCCAGAGUAGCCUGUCUCACGCUAGCGGUCCUGGGCCUGGCCUACUAAGAGAUGUGGGUGAUGGGAGCAGUACCUCCAGCGCGGGCAGCACUGACAGCCCUGACCAUCUCACACAUAAGCAGCAGCUGUUGGGUGGCCCAGUUGGAGGCAGUCCUGAUCACCUACAUAAGCCAGGCUCAGGGAAGGAGGCAACGGGUCCUGAGCAAGCAAGCCGCAGACAUAGCACCAGCCAGGAGUACGCAGCGCAUACUUUCCCCCAAGUGUGCCGGUCUCGCUGUGGGUCCUUCUCCAGUCCAGAUCAUAAGGGCCUACGGGGUCUGAGUCCAGAGAAACUUGGCAAGAGAGGCAGCCCAGAACAGUUCUCGAAACACCUGCUGGUGUCCUCUCAGCCACCUGGCAGCCCGGACUUUUUCCAGAAGCACAGGGGUAGCAUGGGUAGUGUGUGUGGGAGUCCAGAGCCCAAACAGAUUCUAUCAGGGACACCGGAGCACCUACAGAAGGGCCGUGUCAUAUCUGGGAGCCCUGAGUUGUUGAGGCAUCAGCAUGGAAAGUUUGGCAGCCCCGGCCGAGAGGUGGCACAGAAGAGACCGGGUGUAGAGGAGAUGUCCCCUCAUCAUCGGAGCAUCUAUAGCGGUAUGAAUGGUGGGUCCGACUGGAGCCUGCUGUAGCACCCACAAUGAGAUAUACCAAGUCCCAUUUGAGUACACCAUACGCAAAGGGGAUGGUCAUCCUUCAUCCUGGAGCCAGCAAAGCCCCAAUUCCCAGCCAGCCACUAAACCAUACCACUCAGCCAGCCAUUACCUGCAUUUUGUCUAGUUUUUCUUUGCUCAGUUCAGGAGAGGCAAUGGCCAGAUAGAGCAGGGGCUUUAGUGUUUGGCUUGAGCACAACAUCCCAUCUCUGGUAAAGGUCAGUGGUGUCCAGUCUUGGUCCUGUAGGGCCAUGAUUUUAGCAGUCUUUUGUUGCCUCCCAUCAGUCAGCCUCUGUACCUGUGCCUCCGAAGCCAUUUUUUUAUGCUCCGGAACCCAGCUGAGGGAACACUGUAAUCAAUCAUUGAAAGACCAAAAUGCUCAGAGGCCCAACAAAAGCCAGAAGACAGUGCUACCCAGGAGGACCAGGAGUGGACACCAUUGUAUUUGCCAUAUGCACGCAGCUCUGAUAUCGGCUGGCUGUUGCACCAACUCCUGUAGAAGUGUCAAGCUUUGGGACAGUUUUGAUGCCUCUUGACCAUUGCCUUGACCGGAUCCAGUGGUGGAACCCUGGCUAUGAAAGAGGAUCCCUGUUGCUUUCAUUUAAUUUGCACUGACAGAAAUGGAAGACAAGGAUGUUUUAGCAGCAGUAAGUGUCUCUUGUCCCCGUCCCUCUCCACACUGGUUCCUGCUGGUCUCCCAAUACAACUCACAUCCCUGCAAAACCGAGGCCUGGAGGAAGGAUUCCUUAGGAUUCAAACAGCUGGACAUGACACAUUUGCCAAAAGGAUUUCCCAAAUGGGAGAUUUAUUCAUCUGUUUUUGCCAACAAAAUAGACCUACCUCCUUUGAACGGAAGCAGACAUAACAAAACAAAAAAAAGUUUGAAAUUGGGAAUGAAAGGUUUUUUAUCCAUUUUGUUUACAGUGAUCACAAAACACACAAUCAAUCCACACUAUAAAAAAAUCAUUUUAUUAAUGAUUCUUUUGUACUGUUUUACAGUUAAAAACGAUCUAAACAUUCUAGAAACAAGAUGCAUUUAUUCACAAAGCAAAACUGCAUAAGACAUUAAGGAUGAGAGUUAAGCUGGUUUUCUGAGAAUAUGCAUACUAAAACAUACUUCUUUUAUUUUUCACACUCAAUUUGUAUUUUUUUUUUUUUUUUUUAAGCAUAAACCUCACUAAAUGUUGUCAGAUUAAUGCUUAAAACAACAAAAUAUACAAUGCUAACAUGAAAUAUUAAUAUACAUUAUAUAUAAAAUUAUACAUAAAAAUAUGCAAAAUAGCAUGAAAUAUAAAACUUGCUUUAAUAGAUCAUAUAGGAGAUUAUAGGGUGGAAAUUCUGUUUAUGAUCUCUUAUAAUAUCUCUUAUGCAGUUUUGCUUAUUUAAGGAUGUCUAGAUAUUUUUACUAAAAACAAUUAGAAAAUUUGUACAACUUUUUUUUUUUUUGGAGUGUGCCAAUAUUUUGCACAAACAGGCGGAUACCUACUACCAAUCUGUUCUUUUGUCUCUAAGAACAAGGGCAUUUCUUAAGCUGUUUGAAGGUAAAGAGCAAAACUGAAUGUCAGUAGCUCACAAGUUUUCAAUUUUUAGCUCAACAUCUUAAAGAUAAUGACAUCAUGUCUCAAUCACUGCCUGGCUUUCAUUAGGACCUGUGUGAAAACAUUUGAUUUACUACGUUGACUGUGGCCAUGUGUAAAGUACGGUAGUUAAACACUUAACUAUCUAUAGUCGCUGAAGUCAAAAGUUAAAGUGGGAGGUGUCCUAAAACACCCCUCGUCUCUCAACAUCUCGUAGAUGCAGUGUUGUAUGAUGUAAAAAAAGCACAUAGAAAGCUACUGCUGUUCCACCUAAGACUUGUGUAGCCAGACGUUUUAGGCUUCCAUUGUGUUGAGUCCUCUCGCGUCUGGUAUUUCUGCCCUCAUUGCUGCUGAAAUCAAGUAGCCCAUUCGCAAAGCUCAUAUCUUGAACACUUCAAUGCUUUGUGAAAUUGCCAAACUCAUUUUAUGGUUCACCAAAAAAAAAAAAAAAAAAGGAAAAAGUUAAA